GACAGCAGCAGCCACGGGAAUACAGAGGGUGCGAGCGUUAAUCGGAUUUACUGGGCGUAAAGCGUGCGUAGGCGGCUUUUUAAGUCGGAUGUGAAAUCCCUGAGCUUAACUUAGGAAUUGCAUUCGAUACUGGGAAGCUAGAGUAUGGGAGAGGAUGGUAGAAUUCCAGGUGUAGCGGUGAAAUGCGUAGAGAUCUGGAGGAAUACCGAUGGCGAAGGCAGCCAUCUGGCCUAAUACUGACGCUGAGGUACGAAAGCAUGGGGAGCAAACAGGAUUAGAUACCCCAGUAGUCCCUGUCUCUUAUAC
rnacentral:rRNA from 1 species